rnacentral:rRNA from 1 species
CCUUUUACUCCUACGGGAGGCAGCAGUGGGGAAUAUGCCACAAUGGGCGCAAGCCUGAUGGCAGCGACGCCGCGUGAGGGAUGACGGCCUUCGGGUUGUAAACCUCUUUCAGCAGGGAAGAAGCGAAAGUGACGGUACCUGCAGAAGAAGCGCCGGCUAACUACGUGCCAGCAGCCGCGGUAAUACGUAGGGCGCGAGCGUUGUCCCGAAUUAUUGGGCGUAAAGAGCUCGUAGGCGGCUUGUCGCGUCGGUUGUGAAAGCCCGGGGCUUAACCCCGGGUCUGCAGUCGAUACGGGCAGGCUAGAGUUCGGUAGGGGAGAUCGGAAUUCCUGGUGUAGCGGUGAAAUGCGCAGAUAUCAGGAGGAACCACCGGUGGCGAAGGCGGAUCUCUGGGCCGAUACUGACGCUGAGGAGCGAAAGCGUGGGGAGCGAACAGGAUUAGAUACCCUGGUAGUCCACGCCGUAAACGGUGGGCACUAGGUGUGGGCGACAUUCCACGUCGUCCGUGCCGCAGCUAACGCAUUAAGUGCCCCGCCUGGGGAGUACGGCCGCAAGGCUAAAACUCAAAGGAAUUGACGGGGGCCCGCACAAGCGGCGGAGCAUGUGGCUUAAUUUGACGCAACGCGAAGAACCUUACCAAGGCUUGACAUACACCGGAAAACCCUGGAGACCACGGGCCCCCCCC